rnacentral:rRNA from 1 species
GCACAAGCAGCGGAGCGUGUGGUUUAAUUCGAAGAUACACGAAGAACCUUACCAGGUCUUGACAUACCAUUGACAGGCGCAGAGAUGUGCUCUCCUUCGGGCAAUGGAUGCAGGUGGUGCAUGGUUGUCGUCAGCUCGUGCCGUGAGGUGUUGGGUUAAGUCCCGCAACGAGCGCAACCCUCAUUGUUAGUUACUACCAUUCAGUUGAGGACUCUAAUGAGACUGCCAACGAUAAGUUGGAGGAAGGUGGGGAUGACGUCAAAUCAUCAUGCCCUUUAUGACCUGGGCUACAAACGUACUACAAUGGCCAAUACAAAGAGAUGCGAAGCGGUGACGUGGAGCGAACCUCAGAAAGUUGGUCUCAGUUCAGAUUGAAGUCUGCAACUCGACUUCAUGAAGGCGGAAUCGCUAGUAAUCGCGGGUCAGCAGACCGCGGUGAAUACGUUCCCGGGUCUU